GCAGGAGAUCACAGCCACCCGGACCACAGCUGAAGGAGCGAUCCAAGCCUCUCAGUGACGUCUGGCCAUUGUUCAUGGUCGCCUGAGAGGGGCAUUUCCUUGGAUUAUCUUACCUCCUGUUCAAAGCCCAGCUGAUUCAGAAUAGUCAAGACCAAAGCCCUUGACAUUUCCCCCAAGACUGCCCAGCUGAUGAAGGUGGUCACUAUCAGAAGGGGGAUGAAGACACCAGGCUCAGUAGCAAAUGAGACCCCGCAGGAGCCUCACUUGGGAAUUUUCCACAGCGACUUGCACAUUUUCUUUACAUUCUAAAGCAACACAUCCAGGCUGGACUACUGUCAGGAACUGCCUGACUUGGGGGUCCUCCUUUUACUGAAUUUUGAAAAUGGAAUCUCUACAAGCCUUACUGUGAGGUUAUGUUGUAUUCACUAAGCAAAUACAAACUCUGGAGUGCCGAGGAGGCAAAAGUUAAUUGUACUUGCCCUGCGAAUCCCCCUGUGGCUGCUAUAAAUACCCCGUGUUUCCUCCAGGAGAGCGUGCCAUGUGCCUGCUGGUGAACCACAGGAGGGAGGUGUGGAGGCUGGAUAGGUGGGUUAGCAGCACCGUGCAGAUGGAACGGUCACGUUCCUUCCUCAGCAAAGACAUCUGCGUGCAGGUCACAGCUGGGUGACAGCAGCACAGCCUGGAGGAGCUCGGAGUCAGCAGGGAAGGGGACGUCUCUGCCUGAAGCUCUCGGGCUGCGCCUCCUGCCCCAUCACUAAUGCUCAGCUACAAGAUGAAGGCGCCUCGGAGCUGGGUCAGCAAAGACGCGAGCUUUCCUGUUCCACUUCAGAAAGACUAGCUGAAGUGUGGGGCGUAAAGAAAGAUGAAACAGACUCCGCCUUAGACUAAGUAUAUAUUUUAAUUUCUACAAGGUCCCCCUUUCAAGUCUUGGGGAAUUUAAACGAAGUGUAUACAAAUUACACAUUGCUGAUAUGUA